UCUAAAUCCAAACGAAAACACUGAGAUAAUCUUGCAAUUAGCCAAACAAUCUAUGCAAGUGCGAAAUACAGUGUACAGCAGAUUGAUUUGCAUCAUGUCAAAACCAGACUGUCCAUAGGAUACAUCGGUUGCCGCUGCCACAACCCUCCUGCCGAUGUUCCAUGACUCCAUUCUUACUGGCUAGUUUGUCCCAAGCAUUUCACCAAACAGUUAGGCCUCGUUUGGGAGCUAGGUAACAGCGCACCCCGGUCAGACACCACAGGUGGAGCAUUACGGUGAAACAUUAAGAAAAGCUGAGGCCAAACACUCACAUGAACUCCAUAAUGUUCAGCAAGACCACACCCAGACUUGCCAAGCACCCCAAAAAAAUGACUCUCCUCCAGAAUAACAUGGAAUCAAUAUUUCUCCUUCAACCUGACAAUCUCAUCCAAGGGGGCAAUUUGGCCAGAAUUCUGUGUUCACAAACCAUGACGACUGUAAGAGGUUUCAUGAAUUGUCUAGGUUGCACAUGUUAAAUGGACAUUUUAUUUUCCAAACUUUCAUAAGGUCAUAUAAAAAAAGACAGCAUAAAUCAACACAAAACAAUCAAAAGCACUGCGCCUGGUAAAUGGAUUCUACAACAAUGUAGCGUCUAAUCUUUUCAGCACGUUUAUUUCCACGAGUAAGUUUUUCCAAAGUGCUUGCAAGUGAAGCCAUAUCAUUGUGCUUGAAGUACACCACAAUGCUUCUUGAUAGAUGGAGACCAUUUUGCACUGCCCAGUGAACACCCUCAUCACUGCAAUCACAUCAAAUAUUGGCACAAAUUUAGCAAGGGAACAGUCAAGAGAAGAAAAAUAAUAGAAAAAACUACCCAUGUACAAUUAACUGAUAGAGGAAUAACAACUCAUCAAUAGACACAAGAAAGAGAUGACAAUGUUGUGCUAAAGCCUAAAGCUGAGCUGGAUAAAUCCAUAUUAUGUCUAAAAGGCCAAGCAUGCAGACCUCGAUACACCAAACAAGUCAAGGUUCCAAUAAUACUUGUGAAUUUCAUAAUUUUUUAAUGCGGUGAACUUACGUGACUAUGAUAUCUCCUUUCUUAUAGAAGGCAGGUAUCACACUGAAUAUUGUAGAAAUCCCAUAUGAAUAAAGAAUGGAGUCUGGGGUCCCCAAAAAUUUAGCUAUCUUUGACUCACAAUCAAGAUGGACAUCUACAAAAAUACAUUGGAAAGUUAAGUUCCUCCUCUAUACUUUCAACCAAAGUCAUUGUCUGAG
rnacentral:lncRNA from 1 species